GGAAAAAGAACCAACAUGUUUUAGCAUUUUUAAGGCAUCAAUCUGACAUCAAGACAAGAGUGCAACUAAUAGAAUAGAGGGUGCUAUUUCGAGACAGAUUAAACACGAAGGUUAAGAAGUAAAUAUAUUUUAGAACCAAUCUAAAAAGGCAAAACGGAAAGAGGACCAGAUAGGUUGAAAUGUUUCAAUAUUUGAAAGCAACAACAAACAAAGGGAG
rnacentral:lncRNA from 1 species